rnacentral:rRNA from 1 species
UACGGGGGGUCCUAGCGUUGUUCGGAAUCACUGGGCGUAAAGCGUUUGUAGGUGGCUUUGUAAGUUGAAUGUGAAAGCCCAGGGCCUAACCCUGGAAGUGCAUUCAAUACUGCAAAGCUUGAGUAUGGGAGAGGAAGAUGGAAUUCCUGGUGUAGUGGUGAAAUACGUAGAUAUCAGGAGGAACAUCGGUGGCGAAAGCGGUCUUCUGGCCUAAUACUGACACUGAAAACGAAAGCGUGGGAGCAAACAGG